rnacentral:lncRNA from 1 species
CCAUGCCCCCAGGCCUUUAUUAACCCUGCCUUGGCCUCACACCUAGCCAAGACCCACCAUAAUGUCAUUAAAAAGGGAAUAAAAAGUGAAUCAGCCUGACUGCAACUUGAAAAGUGAACAAAAAUUGACUAAAAACCAAAUAAAAAGUGAAUUAAACCGAAGAAAUUCAACGAAAAGUGAAAACAAGCAAUUAUAAAUUAUGAAAAAGUGAAUAAAAAUGAAUGAAAGAGACUAAAAAAUUCACGGGUGUUGGGGCACUUACGGGCCACGGGGGGUAGGGGGUUCCCUAUCGGGUGCUAUGUAUACAGAUUCUGCUGCUGUUACUGCAAUGCCAGUGGUCAAUAAAAGCUGUGGGGUGUGAGUUGUGGGUCUAUAGGAUGCUAUGGGGCAGUGGAGGGUGUCUAUGGGGUGAUAUGGGUUGCCAUGGGGCAGUGUGUGGGUCACUCUGUGGUCUCUGUGGGUAGUUAUGGGGAUCUAUGGGUCACUAUGGGGUCUAUAUGGGUCCAAUGGUUGCUGUCGGGUGUCUGUGGGUCACUGUAUGGCUCUAUGCGAUGCCUGUAGGGUGUACAGGGCUUUAUGGAGUGUCCAGGAGUCUCUCUGGGUCGCUACGGGGCAUCUGGAAAAAAAAAAAAAAAGUUACUAAAAAGGACGCAAAAGCAAAUAAAGCUGAAAAAAAAUUAAAUUAAUAAACCGCAAAUAAAGCUGAAUAAAACUGUGUAAAGUCAACAAAAAGCAAAUAAAAGUGAAUAAAGUGAUUGUAAGUUAUUACGAAGUAAACAAAAAGGAAUAAAAGUGAACAAGCCUGAAUGAAUCUCGAAUAAAAGUGAAUGAAAGUUCAUAAAAAUUAAUGAAAGCAAAUAAAAAAACGAUUGGUGUAGGGGUAGUGGGGGCCCUAUGGGGCGCCCAUGGUGGUUGACGAUGCUGCUGACAAUGAUGUCAUCCCAGUCCUGGUGAAGUCAUGACACCAUAAAUCAUAAGAGUUGUCAUGGGGCCACGUGUGGGUCUAUAGGGUAUCUAGCAGUUGCUGUGGGUCUCUAUGGGGUGUCUAUGGGUGGCCGUGGCUCACUAUAGGGUGUCUAUGGGGUAUAUAUAGGUCGCAAUGGGUCACUAUGGGGAUCUAUGGGUCUCUAUGGGGCAUCUAUGAGUCACUGUGGAGUAUCCAUGGGUCGCUGUGGGGUGUCUAUAGGGACUCUAUGAGGCUGGGGGUCCUAUAAAGGAUCGAAGGGGGUGUCUGUGGGAUGUCCAGGGGUUGCUCUGGGUCACUAUGGGGAAUCUAAAAAAGAAAAUGUUACUAAAAGUGACUAAAUCAAAUCGCAAGAAAACUGAAUGAAAAGUCAAUAAAAUGUCAAUAAAGUGAUUAAAAAGUGAAGAAAAAUGAAUAAAAGUGAAUAAAAAUGAAAGCGAAUAAAAGAGUCAACCCCCAACUUAUGUUGGGGGGGGGAGUGGGGACCCUAUGGGGCUCGUUGUGUUGGGUGGGCCACCUGCCCCCCGGGGAGUAGCUGCUGCUGGGCAUGGAGCCCCCGGAAUUCCAGGAAUGCCGCUGGGAUCAGCACCGGGAGCUGCUGUCCCAGGUGCUGCUGCACCCCUUGGACCCCCCUGGCACCGUGGAGUGGCUGCUCCUGGGGCUGUACCCCAGGGUGCUACUGGCCAGUACCCACCGAGGGAUCUUCCUGCAUCUCUGGGAUGGAUCCGGGAUGAUGCGAAUGACGACAGGAAUGCUGGAGGUUCACUGCUGAGCUGCACGUACCAUGGUGCUGCCGCUGUGGCGUGGGGAGCUGGUGCACGUCUUCGAUGCACAGAGGUUUCGGCAGGGUAAGGGUUAAUCUCUCCUCAUCCUGAUCCAUGGGCUCUUCUUCAUCAUCCUCCUCACCAUCUCCAUCCCCACAGAGGUGCAGCAGCACCGGGCAGGGCUGGCCCCAUGGUCCUGGCACCGGGUGAUGCUGGUGCUGAGGCAGGAGCUGGGGCCACACGAUGGAGCCCACAACACCAGCCUGGUCCUGCAGCAGCUCCUGGACGGCCGCGCGCCGAGCUGAGCCCCGCUAAGCUUCAUAGCCGCACAUCUGUUGAAGAUAAAGCCGCGUUUCAGCCGCCGCCGCCGCCAUCGCUCC